rnacentral:rRNA from 1 species
GCUCAAAUUUGAAAUCUGGUACCUUCGGUGCCCGAGUUGUAAUUUGGAGAGGGCAACUUUGGGGCCGUUCCUUGUCUAUGUUCCUUGGAACAGGACGUCAUAGAGGGUGAGAAUCCCGUGUGGCGAGGAGUGCGGUUCUUUGUAAAGUGCCUUCGAAGAGUCGAGUUGUUUGGGAAUGCAGCUCUAAGUGGGUGGUAAAUUCCAUCUAAAGCUAAAUAUUGGCGAGAGACCGAUAGCGAACAAGUACAGUGAUGGAAAGAUGAAAAGAACUUUGAAAAGAGAGUGAAAAAGUACGUGAAAUUGUUGAAAGGGAAGGGCAUUUGAUCAGACAUGGUGUUUUGUGCCCUCUGCUCCUUGUGGGUAGGGGAAUCUCGCAUUUCACUGGGCCAGCAUCAGUUUUGGUGGCAGGAUAAAUCCAUAGGAAUGUAGCUUGCCUCGGUAAGUAUUAUAGCCUGUGGGAAUACUGCCAGCUGGGACUGAGGACUGCGACGUAAGUCAAGGAUGCUGGCAUAAUGGUUAUAUGCCGCCCGUCUUG